rnacentral:rRNA from 1 species
AUUGAACGCUGGCGGCACGCCUAACACAUGCGAGUCGAGCGGCAGCGAGACUAGUGGCAAUACUAGUUGUCGGCGAGCGGCGGACGGGUGAGUAACACGUAGGAAUCUGCCCUUAAGCGGGGGAUAACCAAGGGAAACUUUGGCUAAUACCGCAUAAUCUCGAGAGAGCAAAGCUGCCCGCAAGGGUGGCACUUGAGGAGGAGCCUGCGUCCGAUUAGCUAGUUGGUGGGGUAAUGGCCUACCAAGGCGAUGAUCGGUAACUGGUCUGAGAGGACGACCAGUCACACUGGGACUGAGACACGGCCCAGACUCCUACGGGAGGCAGCAGUGGGGAAUAUUGGACAAUGGGGGCAACCCUGAUCCAGCGAUGCCGCGUGAGUGAAGAAGGCCUUCGGGUCGUAAAGCUCUUUAGGUUGGGAAGAAGGGUAUUGGCUGAAUAAUCCAGUACUUUGACGGUACCGACAGAAUAAGCACCGGCAAACUCUGUGCCAGCCGCCGCGGUAACAC